rnacentral:tRNA from 1 species
GGCCCCGUCGUUCAAUGGAUAGGACAUGAGUUUGCGGAAUUCAAGAUGCAGGUUCGAUUCCUGCCGGGGUCA